rnacentral:lncRNA from 1 species
UAAGGCCUCUUGGACAGUCCAAUAAUUAAUGGGCCUUGUUUGGGAGCCGAACUAAAAUUUUCAUGUGUGAGAUUUAGUCCCACAUUGAAAUCUAAAAGGGUGUUGUUGGUAUAUAUAUAUUUCUUUAUUCUCAAGCUAAUUACUUAGAAGAAAAUGAGAAUUACACUCUUGUUUAAACACACGCACGCACAGCACGAGCCAGGCUGGGCCUGGUGGGCGGCUGCACGCGCGGUCCAUACAUCCGGUUUAUUUUAUUUUUAUUUUUUUUGGUUUUAUCUUUAUCCUAAUUCUAAUCCGUAUUCUUAUAAUCUUAGGCUUAUCUUGUUAUAUUAUUUUUUUCGGUUUUAUCUUUAUCCUAAUUCUAAUCCAUAUUCUUAUAAUCUUAGGCUUAUUUUGUUAUACACGGAUUUGACUCGUUAAAGCAAAAUUCUCGUCUUGAUUAUAUAUAUUGGAGGAGGUUGCAUGAGUUCGAGAAGAACCGGAGCAUACCUAAAUCCUACCUCACUUUUUUUCUACUUUCUCGUCAUUGGUUUUUUGCGACGAUUUUCGCCGAGCUUUUUUUGCUAGAUUUGAAGUUUGUUGGGUUCGUCUUGCGCCAUCUUGGAAGCAUGCCAACGGGGUGGAACGUCGUCAUUGUAUCGUUGGAAAUUGUUGGGGAGCCUUGCACGUGGAGGGACAAUUUUGCUUAUAGGAUAGUGCUCUGCACGUCUCGAUCUACAUAUCUUAUCUAAACAUUUUCUUCACAGUAUUUGUUAUUUAUUUUCUUUCUCAAAAUUUUUAUAAACCUGAAAUUAAAUUUUCAAAUUAUUUUUAAAUAAUAUUUUAAUAAAAGAUCAGAAAGAUUUUUCAAUAGGAGGAAGGUGAAAGUGGAAGGGGGGAAGGAGAGAGCGCAAGAGAGAGGGGAAAAGAUUGAGGAGAGGAGAGAGAAUAAAGGUGGCUUGUUAUAAAGUUGCCUUUCGGAGUACGGAGGGAGGGCGAGAAGAAGUAGAGUGUGGUCACUAGCGCUUUAUGGGCGUGUUUGGUUCAAAGUCAGAAUCGGAAUCAGAAUCGAAAUCGAAAUAAGCUGGAAUCAAAAUCGGAAUGACUCAUUACCUAAUUCUGUUUGAUUCAUCACCUGAAUCGAAAUCAGAAUAAAUCAUUGCCAUUGUCGGUGUUUGGUUCAGGUAAAUAUAAAAAACGUAAUUAAACUUUAAAGUUGAAUGGAUAAUUCGAAAUAUAAAAGUAAAUUUUGAUUUAUUCAAAUUCAAACUUAAAAUUAUAAUUUAAAUUUUAAUUUGAAUCCAUAAAUUUAAUUUAAGUUUUAAAUAAAAUUUGAAUAAACUUUAUAUAAAUUAAAAUUUAAUUUAAAUUUAAAUUCAUAAGUUAGAUUCGAAAUACUUGAU